GUCAGUAACAUACAACUACAGGUCAGUAAUAUACAACUACAGGUCAGUAAUAUACAACUACAGGUCAGUAACAUACAACUACAGGUCAGUAACAUACAACUACAGGUCAGUAAUAUACAACUACAGAUCAGUGAUAUACAACUACAGGUCAGUAACAUACAACUACAGGUCAGUAACAUACAACUACAGGUCAGUAAUAUACAACUACAGGUCAGUAACAUACAACUACAGAUCAGUAACAUACAACUACAGGUCAGUA